ensembl:misc_RNA Metazoa_SRP Metazoan signal recognition particle RNA
GCUGGGUGUGGCGGUGUGUGCCUGUAGUCCCAGCUACUUGGGAGGCUGAGGCAGGAGAAUUGCUCGAACCUGGGAGGCUGAGGUUGCAGUGAGCCAAGAUCACACCACUGCACUCCAGCCUGGGCAACAGAGCGAGACUCUGCCUUUA